rnacentral:rRNA from 1 species
CCUACGGGGCGCUGCAGUGGGGAAUAUUGCACAAUGGGGGAAACCCUGAUGCAGCGACGCCGCGUGAGUGAAGAAGUAUCUCGGUACGUAAAGCUCUAUCAGCAGGGAAGAAAAUGACGGUACCUGACUCAGAAGCCCCGGCUAACUACGUGCCAGCAGCCGCGGUAAUACGUAGGGGGCAAGCGUUAUCCGGAUUUACUGGGUGUAAAGGGAGCGUAGACGGCGUGCCAAGUCUGGUGUGAAAGGCCGGGGCUCAACCCCGGGACUGCAUUGGAAACUGGCAUGCUGGAGUGCCGGAGGGGCAAGCGGAAUGCCUGGUGUAGCGGUGAAAUGCGUAGAUAUUAGGAGGAACACCGGUGGCGAAGGCGGCUUGCUGGACGGUAACUGACGUUGAGGCUCGAAAGCGUGGGGAGCGAACAGGAUUAGAUACCCGAGUAGUC